ACCGUAACCAUUUUGGCUCAAG
rnacentral:sRNA from 1 species